rnacentral:rRNA from 1 species
UACGACUACAUAUCAGGCAUAUCAAUAAGCGGAGGAAAAGAAACUAACAAGGAUUCCCUUAGUAACGGCGAGUGAAGCGGGAAGAGCUCAAAUUUGAAAUCUUCAAGGUUUUACCUUGACGAAUUGUAGUUUAAAGAAGUGUUUUCUGUUGAAGUUUUGGUAAAAGUUCUUUGGAAUAGGACAUCAUAGAGGGUGAGAAUCCCGUAUUUGACCAUUAUUUUCAGCUGUGUGAUACACUUUCAAAGAGUCGGAUUGUUUGGGAAUGCAGUCCAAAAUGGGUGGUAAAUUUCAUCUAAAGCUAAAUAUUGGCGAGAGACCGAUAGCGAACAAGUACCGUGAGGGAAAGAUGAAAAGAACUUUGAAAAGAGAGUUAAACAGUACGUGAAAUUAUCAAAAGGGAAGCGUUUGACACCAGUGUUGUUUUCUCGAAAAUCAAUUAAAAAUAGUUGGAUUUUGUGUUGUAUUGACCUUAACAGCUUGCUUCACUCUUUUCCAGCUUUUUUUAAUGCACUUUUCGUUUAACAAGUCAACAUCAGUUUCUUUUGUUGUAAAAGAGGUAUUCGGAAGGUGGCUUUCUCUUCGGAGAAAGUGUUUAUAGCCUUUGGUCCUCUGCAAUCGGAGAGAUUGAGGUCUGCAGCGUAGAUCCUUCGGGGUUAGAUACAUUUGUGCUAAGUUAUAGCCUUUCAUAGACAACUUGUUGACUAUGAUCAGUCAUGUAGCUUACUCGCUGAUGCUAUUUUACCUACGCUUAGGAUGUUGAGCGCAUGUCUCUCUCU